ACGCUGGCGGCGUGCUUAACACAUGCAAGUCGAACGGUGACCCAGGGCUUGCCCUGGUGAUCAGUGGCGAACGGGUGAGUAACACGUGGGCAACCUGCCCCUGACUUCGGGAUAACUCCUCGAAAGAGGAGCUAAUACCGGAUACGACCACUUCGGACAUCCGAUGGUGGUGGAAAGUUUUUCGGUCAGGGGAUGGGCCCGCGGCCUAUCAGCUAGUUGGUGGGGUAAUGGCCUACCAAGGCGACGACGGGUAGCCGGCCUGAGAGGGCGACCGGCCACACUGGGACUGAGACACGGCCCAGACUCCUACGGGAGGCAGCAGUGGGGAAUAUUGCGCAAUGGGCGAAAGCCUGACGCAGCGACGCCGCGUGAGGGAUGAAGGCCUUCGGGUUGUAAACCUCUUUCAGCAGGGACGAAGCGAAAGUGACGGUACCUGCAGAAGAAGCACCGGCUAACUACGUG
rnacentral:rRNA from 1 species